GGCACCCAGAGUGGGACGACGCCGGAGACCGGUGCAGGUGAGCCCACGAUGUGCAACCAGUACAAGUGCUUCUGCCUCCUCGUGCAAUGGAUGUGGCACGUCAUCAAGCGGCUGUGCAGGAGAAAGAGAGAAUCUCGCAGGAGCGCUGACGAGACAACGUCCUUAUUGGGCGACAGGCAUAACGCGGGGUCCUGAGGGGAGCCCG